rfam:Gossypium raimondii Chr04_contig_932, whole genome shotgun sequence.
UGUUAAAAAUUUCAUUCAUUUGUACUGUUAAAAACUAGUGUGGUUGACAGAAGAACCAGACAGUGACAUGUGGCGUACCACAUAUAUCUCAUGCUGACGUAUAGGGACCAAUUUUUAACAUUAGGAAUGGAUAACAUUUUUAAUA